GGCGGACGGGUGAGUAAUGCUUGGGAACUUGCCUUUGCGAGGGGGAUAACAGUUGGAAACGACUGCUAAUACCGCAUAAUGUCUUCGGACCAAACGGGGCUUAGGCUCCGGCGCAAAGAGAGGCCCAAGUGAGAUUAGCUAGUUGGUGAGGUAAAGGCUCACCAAGGCAACGAUCUCUAGCUGUUCUGAGAGGAAGAUCAGCCGCACUGGGACUGAGACACGGCCCAG
rnacentral:rRNA from 1 species